ensembl:snRNA U5 U5 spliceosomal RNA
AUGCGCUGGUUUCUCUUCAAAAUGAAUAAAUCUUUCACCUUUUACUAACGAUUUCCAUGGAGAGGAACAGUUAUGAGUUGGUAACCACAUUUUUUGAGGUCUUGCUCUGGCAAAUC